UGAAGAGUUUGAUCCUGGCUCAGGAUGAACGCUAGCGGCAGGCUUAACACAUGCAAGUCGAGGGGUAACAUUAGUGCUUGCACUAGAUGACGACCGGCGCACGGGUGCGUAACGCGUAUAGAAUCUACCUUUUACAGGGGGAUAGCCUUUAGAAAUGAAGAUUAAUAUCCCAUAGUAUUGCGAAGUGGCAUCACUUUGUAAUUAAAGAUUUAUCGGUAAAAGAUGACUAUGCGUCCUAUUAGUUAGUUGGUAAGGUAACGGCUUACCAAGACUUCGAUAGGUAGGGGUCCUGAGAGGGAGAUCCCCCACACUGGUACUGAGACACGGACCAGACUCCUACGGGAGGCAGCAGUGAGGAAUAUUGGGCAAUGGAGGUAACUCUGACCCAGCCAUGCCGCGUGCAGGAAGACUGCCCUAUGGGUUGUAAACUGCUUUUAUACAGGAAGAAACACUGCUACGUGUAGCAGCUUGACGGUACUGUAAGAAUAAGGACCGGCUAACUCCGUGCCAGCAGCCGCGGUAAUACGGAGGGUCCGAGCGUUAUCCGGAAUCAUUGGGUUUAAAGGGUCCGCAGGCGGUCAAUUAAGUCAGAGGUGAAAUCCCAUAGCUUAACUAUGGAACUGCCUUUGAUACUGGUUGACUUGAGUCAUAUGGAAGUAGAUAGAAUGUGUAGUGUAGCGGUGAAAUGCAUAGAUAUUACACAGAAUACCGAUUGCGAAGGCAGUCUACUACGUAUGUACUGACGCUCAUGGACGAAAGCGUGGGGAGCGAACAGGAUUAGAUACCCUGGUAGUCCACGCCGUAAACGAUGGACACUAGUUGUUGGGCAUUAGCUCAGUGACUAAGCGAAAGUGAUAAGUGUCCCACCUGGGGAGUACGAUCGCAAGAUUGAAACUCAAAGGAAUUGACGGGGGCCCGCACAAGCGGUGGAGCAUGUGGUUUAAUUCGAUGAUA
rnacentral:rRNA from 1 species